CCUACGGGGGGCUGCAGUAAGGAAUAUUGGUCAAUGGGCGCAAGCCUGAACCAGCCAUGCCGCGUGAAGGAUGACGGCCCUAUGGGUUGUAAACUUCUUUUGUACGGGAAAAAACCUCUGGUCGUGAAUCAGAGCUGAUGGUACCGUAAGAAUAAGCAUCGGCUAACUCCGUGCCAGCAGCCGCGGUAAUACGGAGGAUGCAAGCGUUAUCCGGAUUCAUUGGGUUUAAAGGGUGCGCAGGCGGAAUAAUAAGUCAGCGGUGAAAGCCUACAGCU
rnacentral:rRNA from 1 species